AGUCUCUGCUUUUAACUAGAUAGCAACUUUCAGCAGUGGAUGUCUAGGCUCGCACAUCGAUGAAGAACGCUGCGAACUGCGAUACGUAAUGCGAAUUGCAGGAUUCAGUGAGUCAUCGAAAUUUUGAACGCAUAUUGCACUUUCGGGUUCUGCCUGAAAGUAUGUCUGUAUCAGUGUCCGUACACUAAACUUGCCUUUCUUGCGUCGUGUAGUCGUCGCUGGGAAUGCGCAGAUGUGAGGUUUUGUCUUGCUCUGGCUCGAAUUCGUUGGGCAGGAGCAAGUCCCUUUAAAGUCGGACGUGUUUUCUCUCUGCGGUGUGCUGUGUCGGCGCUGGCGGCGCGUGGGACUCUCUUGUCUGUUGACGAGUCUGGCGACCUUUGGCUCGUGCAUUGCGGGGUGUGCUCGAUUGGCGGUAUGUUAGGCUUCGGCU
rnacentral:rRNA from 1 species